CUUUCGGCUCAGCACGCAGGCCUGUGGAAGGGACCGCAACCGGCCUGGCUGACGCAGCCGCGCGCCUGCUGCCUGCCAGGCUGGGGAGGGGUCCCGGAGCCCCGUCCGGAGGAGCUACCUUUUCUAGGGUCGUUUUUACGGCUGCCCCAGGGAACCAAGACGGCCGCCCAAGAGAGAGCCCGGCCAGCCCCCCUUGGGAGACAGGAAGAUGCCUGGUGCUCAGAGGGGCCUGGAACCUCAAGCUCCCUUUGCGUCUCAGCUCAGGCUCUUGGCAUCCAAAGAAAAAUAUUCUUUCUAAUCACUAGAAAGAUUAUUUCUAGUCGGCGUCGGGAGUGUUGGCGAUAGCCGUCUCCGCGCGCCUGGCGCAGCGCCAUGGGACAGCUUGGACACACCAUCACAGACGGGAGGGAGGCGGUCACAAGCCCAGGGACGUCGGGAGCCCCCAGAAGCUGGAAGAGACAGGAGGGACCCUCCCACUCACCGAAGUGUUGGGGGACACUCCACGGACCCCACGGUUUGUAAUGGGAGAAGGUGGCAUCCCUCGCCCUCACUUGCACCGUGUAGGUCCCAGGAUUGUUCAGCUCCAAGAAGGCUUCAUAGGUCUGCAGUUUAAGAGAAAGUAGAGGGGAAAAAA